rnacentral:RNase_P_RNA from 1 species
GCAGUGUCUCGGCUCUGCCGCCGGUUGAAUUUUACUUCACGGGAGGAAAGUCCGGGCAGCACAGGGCACUCCGCUUCCGAAAAUAGAAGCUAUUGGCAACAGUAGGCUCAGGCAGAAGAAAACAACCGCCAUUCGCAUGAAUGGUAAGGGUGAGAAGGCGGUGUAAGAGACCACCAACAGAUGGGUGAUCAUCUGGUUGUGCCCGCCGGAGGCUGCAAGUUCGCGUAAACCGUCGCAUGCGGGUUGCCCGCCCGUUUCGAUAAGAGCGGCGGAGGGUGGAACGCUCAAGCUGUGGGGCGACUCACAGAUUAGAUAAAUGGCAGGCAUUCCGAUGGCUGAAAAGACAUCGGGAAACAGAACCCGGCUUAUAGAGGCGCUGCUUUC